AGGACGAACGCUGGCGGCGUGCUUAACACAUGCAAGUCGAGCGGUAAGGCCUUUCGGGGUACACGAGCGGCGAACGGGUGAGUAACACGUGGGUGAUCUGCCCUGCACUCUGGGAUAAGCCUGGGAAACUGGGUCUAAUACCGGAUAUGACCUGCUCUCGCAGUGGGGGGUGGGUGGAAAGAUUUAUCGGUGCAGGAUGGGCCCGCGGCCUAUCAGCUUGGUUGGGUGGGGUAAUGGCCUACCGAAGGCGACGACGGGUAGCCGACCUGAGAGGGUGACCGGCCACACUGGGACUGAGACACGGCCCAGACUCCUACGGGAGGCAGCAGGUGGGAAUAUUGCACAAGUGGCGAAAGCCUGAUGCAGCGACACGCGUGAGGAUGAAGGCCGUUACGGGUUAGUAAACC
rnacentral:rRNA from 1 species